rnacentral:rRNA from 1 species
UACAGAGGUGGCAAGCGUUGUUCGGAAUUACUGGCGUAAGGCGCGUAGGCGGCCAUCUAAGUCAGACGUGAAAUCCCCCGGCUUAACCUGGGAACUGCGUCUGAUACUGGACGGCUUGAGUAUGGGAGAGGGAUGUAGAAUUCCAGGUGUAGCGGUGAAAUGCGUAGAUAUCUGGAGGAAUACCGGUGGCGAAGGCGGCAUCCUGGACCAUUACUGACGCUGAGGCGCGAAAGCUAGGGGAGCAAACGGG